rnacentral:rRNA from 1 species
CCCUCGGGGGGCAACGUGCACGCCUCGUCKACGUCUCUUCUCUCUCACCCCUGUGCACCUCUGCGUCGGGUCCCGUCGGUUCGGGGCUCCGCGUCCUUUUUAUAAAACGCUCGCAUGUACGAGAACGUGUUAUCAUCAUAAUAAUACAACUUUCAACAACGGAUCUCUUGGCUCUCGCAUCGAUGAAGAACGCAGCGAAAUGCGAUAAGUAAUGUGAAUUGCAGAAUUCAGUGAAUCAUCGAAUCUUUGAACGCACCUUGCGCCCCUUGGUAUUCCGAAGGGCACACCUGUUUGAGUAUCGUGAAAUCCUCAACCCUUUCGCGUUGUCGAAGGGCUUGGACUUUGGAGGUCUUUGCUGGUCCCCCCCCCCGGAUCGGCUCCUCUUGAAUGCAUUUAGUGGAGCUUCGUUCCUGCUGUCGGCCUGCCCUUCGGUGUGAUAAUUCAUCCGCAUCGAUCGAGCGUUUCGUGAACCAGAGGGACGUUCUCCGCUUCGAACGCGUGCGA